CAGGCUCUUCACAAUAAACUUCAAAUGCAACAGUCAGGAUAAAAUAGUACUGCAGUUUAUGUCACUUUCCACAAUAUAUACAAGGUUGUGCUCUCCCACAAAAAAAAUAAAACAAAAAGAAAAUAAAUCCUACUCCAACGUGGAGACUUACUAAACAACAGUAUUACUAACUAUUCAACUGGCCAGCUAAUCUGGUUCCCAGUUUUAAACAAAAUGAAAUACAGCACUUUAACCCCUUAAGGAC